rnacentral:rRNA from 1 species
CCCUUAGAUGUUCUGGGCUGCACGCGCGCUACACUGAUGCACUCAACGAGUUUCUGACCUUGUCCGAGAGGAUUGGGUAAUCUUUUUAAAAUGCAUCGUGAUGGGGAUAGAUUAUUGCAAUUAUUAAUCUUCAACGAGGAAUUCCUAGUAAGCGCGAGUCAUCAGCUCGUGCUGAUUACGUCCCUGCCCUUUGUACACACCGCCCGUCGCCCCUACCGAUUGAGUGAUCCGGUGAAUAAUUCGGACUGCAGCAAUGUUUGGAUCCCGAACGUUGCAGCGGAAAGUUUAGUGAACCUUAUCACUUAGAGGAAGGAGAAGUCGUAACA